GCGGCCGUAGUGUAGCCUGGCAUCACUCAAGCUUGCCAAGCUUGUGACUCGGGUUCAAAUCCCGACGGCCGCA
rnacentral:tRNA from 1 species